UACGGGGGGGGCAAGCGUUGUUCGGAAUUACUGGGCGUAAAGGGCUCGUAGGCGGCCAACUAAGUCGGACGUGAAAUCCCUCGGCUUAACUGGGGAACUGCGUCCGAUACUGGAUGGCUUGAGUUCGGGAGAGGGAUGUGGAAUUCCAGGUGUAGCGGUGAAAUGCGUAGAUAUCUGGAGGAACACCGGUGGCGAAGGCGGCAUCCUGGACCGACACUGACGCUGAGUGAGCGAAAGCCAGGGGAGCAAACGGG
rnacentral:rRNA from 1 species